UACGGAGGGGGCAAGCGUUGUUCGGAUUUACUGGGCGUAAAGGGUGUGUAGGCGGCUGCGCAAGUCUGGUGUGAAAUCUCCGCCGCUUAACGGGGAGGGGUCACUGGAAACUGCGCAGCUCGAGUAUGGUAGAGGCAAGCGGAAUUCCUGGUGUAGCGGUGGAAUGUGUAGAUAUCAGGAAGAACACCGGUGGCGAAGGCGGCUUGCUGGGCCAUCACUGACGCUGAGACACGAAAGCGUGGGGAGCAAACGGG
rnacentral:rRNA from 1 species